AGUGAACGCUGGCGGCGUGCUUAACACAUGCAAGUCGAACGAGAACGGGUUAUAACUUGUUAUAACUGUCAGCUAAGUGGCGCACGGGUGAGUAAUGUAUAGGUAAUAUGCCUCUUACUAAGGGAUAACAAAUGGAAACGUUUGCUAAUACCUUAUACUCCUUAUUAACAGAAGUUAAUAAGGGAAAGAUUUAUUGGUAAGGGAUUAGCCUGUAUUGUAUCAGUUAGUUGGUGGGGUAAUGGCUUACCAAGACUAUGACACAUAACUGGUUUGAGAGGAUGAUCAGUCACACGGGAACUGAGACACGGUCCAGAAUCCUACGGGAGGCAGCAGUGGGGAAUAUUGCACAAUGGACGAAAGUCUGAUGCAGCAACGCCGCGUGGAGGAUGACACAUUUCGGUGCGUAAACUCCUUUUAUAUGAGAAGAUAAUGACGGUAUUAUAUGAAUAAGCACCGGCUAACUCCGUGCCAGCCGCCGCAGUAAUAC
rnacentral:rRNA from 1 species